UACGGAGGGUGCAAGCGUUAUCCGGAUUCACUGGGUUUAAAGGGUGCGUAGGUGGGCUGGUAAGUCAGUGGUGAAAUCUCCAGGCUUAACUUGGAAACUGCCAUUGAUACUAUCAGUCUUGAAUACCGUGGAGGUCAGCGGAAUAUGCCAUGUAGCGGUGAAAUGCUUAGAUAUGACAUAGAACACCAAUUGCGAAGGCAGCUGGCUACACGAAUAUUGACACUGAUGCACGAAAGCGUGGGGAUCAAACAGG
rnacentral:rRNA from 1 species